UUUUCAUCGUAAGCAGCCGCCGCAGCAGCAGGCGCUGGUUUAGUUUGUUUAGACGAGGGAGCUCUUGACGAGUGGUGAUUCCCAGCGUUGGAGGAUGCUGGUUCGUGCUUACGGGUACCAUUCGAAGAGGAAGGUCUAGGUGCAGCUGAAGAAGAAGAACUCUUGCCAGAUGCAGCUCUCCUUGUUGCUUCUUUUCCUCCUUUGCAGGCUUCCCUUCUCUCCAGUGCGUGAUAGCUAGCGAUAAAAAUCAAAAUACAAGACAGCAGUAUCAGAAAUGGGUAUAUGAACUUGUAUCAACUAUAAUGCUAGUAAGUGGAAUCCACUAGACUUGGUGGAUUCAUCUAUUCAGGAGAGCCAGCACAAACAAUAAGCGAACUUAUCUAACCAAUGAUUCAUAUAGUUCAUUUUGGAUUUUGUCAAUGAAAUGGAUUCAGUGUGACGCAAUAAUCAGAAUCAUGAAGCUUCCAUGGUAUUAAUACAUAAACAUGGACAAGGUUAAGGCUCUGAUAAGCUGUGGAACUUACUUGUGAAGCUGGCCACCAUUAACAGAAUCGCAGUACUUCUUCAUCCACUGCAUGAACUCCAAGUUAUCAAGUGGUCUACCUUUAACGAGUUUGCUCACUUCAAUAUGCUACACACAUCCAAAAUUCAACAGACAAUUCAGUUUGAUUGCAAGCUCUAUUAUACCCUUAAAUAAAGGAGAUUAAAGAGGACCUUAGUGAGCUUGAGUUUGUUAAACACAUCCUGAAGCACCUUGUAGUUCUGAAUCAUCUCGUACUCACUCUUGGCGUCGAAAUUAACCUUGUGCAUCGGCACAGUACCAGGGUGAACCGAAUCCAUGAGCUGGCAGUGAACCGCGCCUGAACAAGCCUGUUAAUCAAUAGAUCCGUAUUCAGAUCCACAACACAGAGAAGGAUUCGAAAUCCAAAUUCCAAGGUCUUCUCCAUCUGCUGCGUAGAGGAUUCUUUUUAUGGAACCAACGAGCUGCAGAACACAAACAAAAAGAGUGAUGAUUAGUAAACAUUCUGAAACUUCUUUAGAACGAGGAGGGAUUGAGAAGGCUUUUGCUUACAGGCAAGUGUUCUGUGUCUGGAUUCUGACAGAGAAUCUCUACAUCUCGUAGUUUAGAGAAGUAGAAGUCUCUCUCUUUCUCCAAACUGUCUAUGUAGAGUUUCAGUUCUGUGAUCUGUGUGAUAAGGAAAGCGAGUUAGUGAGCUUCUUAAAUAAAGACUUUGGUGUAAUUCAAGAAAUGAGAGACAACUACCUUUUCAUCGUAAGCAGCCGCCGCAGCAGCAGGCGCUGGUUUAGUUUGUUUAGACGAGGGAGCUCUUGACGAGUGGUGAUUCCCAGCGUUGGAGGAUGCUGGUUCGUGCUUACGGGUACCAUUCGAAGAGGAAGGUCUAGGUGCAGCUGAAGAAGAAGAACUCUUGCCAGAUGCAGCUCUCCUUGUUGCUUCUUUUCCUCCUUUGCAGGCUUCCCUUCUCUCCAGUGCGUGAU
rnacentral:lncRNA from 1 species